GAUGAACGCUGGCGGCGUGCCUAAUACAUGCAAGUCGAGCGAACGGACGAGAAGCUUGCUUCUCUGAUGUUAGCGGCGGACGGGUGAGUAACACGUGGAUAACCUACCUAUAAGACUGGGAUAACUUCGGGAAACCGGAGCUAAUACCGGAUGAUAUUUUGAACCGCAUGGUUCAAAAGUGAAAGACGGUCUUGCUGUCACUUAUAGAUGGAUCCGCGCUGCAUUAGCUAGUUGGUAAGGUAACGGCUUACCAAGGCAACGAUGCAUAGCCGACCUGAGAGGGUGAUCGGCCACACUGGAACUGAGACACGGUCCAGACUCCUACGGGAGGCAGCAGUAGGGAAUCUUCCGCAAUGGGCGAAAGCCUGACGGAGCAACGCCGCGUGAGUGAUGAAGGUCUUCGGAUCGUAAAACUCUGUUAUUAGGGAAGAACAUAUGUGUAAGUAACUGUGCACAUCUUGACGGUACCUAAUCAGAAAGCCACGGCUAACUACGUGCCAGCAGCCGCGGUAAUACGUAGGUGGCAAGCGUUAUCCGGAAUUAUUGGGCGUAAAGCGCGCGUAGGCGGUUUUUUAAGUCUGAUGUGAAAGCCCACGGCUCAACCGUGGAGGGUCAUUGGAAACUGGAAAACUUGAGUGCAGAAGAGGAAAGUGGAAUUCCAUGUGUAGCGGUGAAAUGCGCAGAGAUAUGGAGGAACACCAGUGGCGAAGGCGACUUUCUGGUCUGUAACUGACGCUGAUGUGCGAAAGCGUGGGGAUCAAACAGGAUUAGAUACCCUGGUAGUCCACGCCGUAAACGAUGAGUGCUAAGUGUUAGGGGGUUUCCGCCCCUUAGUGCUGCAGCUAACGCAUUAAGCACUCCGCCUGGGGAGUACGACCGCAAGGUUGAAACUCAAAGGAAUUGACGGGGACCCGCACAAGCGGUGGAGCAUGUGGUUUAAUUCGAAGCAACGCGAAGAACCUUACCAAAUCUUGACAUCCUUUGACAACUCUAGAGAUAGAGCCUUCCCCUUCGGGGGACAAAGUGACAGGUGGUGCAUGGUUGUCGUCAGCUCGUGUCGUGAGAUGUUGGGUUAAGUCCCGCAACGAGCGCAACCCUUAAGCUUAGUUGCCAUCAUUAAGUUGGGCACUCUAAGUUGACUGCCGGUGACAAACCGGAGGAAGGUGGGGAUGACGUCAAAUCAUCAUGCCCCUUAUGAUUUGGGCUACACACGUGCUACAAUGGACAAUACAAAGGGCAGCGAAACCGCGAGGUCAAGCAAAUCCCAUAAAGUUGUUCUCAGUUCGGAUUGUAGUCUGCAACUCGACUACAUGAAGCUGGAAUCGCUAGUAAUCGUAGAUCAGCAUGCUACGGUGAAUACGUUCCCGGG
rnacentral:rRNA from 1 species